GGUACAGCCAGUAAAUGUGCAUGUUUGAUUAUUGCCUUCUGGCCCUCCAGCUUUCUAAAGAACAGGACGUCCUUCAGAGGAAGAAAUGCUUUGCACAUGCUCAAGGGCAUGGCCCUUCCGUUGAUUGUUUUUAAAUACUGCUUGUCAUCCAAAGGAAAGGUGCCAAGGUUCCCAGGCAGCUAUCUAACAGAAGAGGAUUGUUUUGGCUACCGAUGUUCCACCGAGAAUCAGCCUUGGGAAACUACUGCUCUCCCUACUUCAAAGGCGUUGUUUUGGGAACCAUGGGGGGGGGAGGAGGGGCCCGCUGGGAUCUGUUACUCUGUACCUUAUGCCUUGCCUAUCAUUGGUAACAAUGCAUAUGCACCAUCCUGAAUAUUGCAUUCAGGCUAGUGGACUAUAAUGAACUAUUUCUUCAAUAAAUUCCUUUUGGAAACAA